GCCCUUGUGGUGAAAUUGGUAUACACACCAGUUUUAGAAACUGGCGCCUUACAGCUUGCCGGUUCAAGUCCGGCCGAGGGCA
rnacentral:tRNA from 2 species